GUUUAGUUCCCUCAUGUUGUCAACGUCGUCGACGAGAUUGAGAUAUUCUGAGCGCACAUAUCUUUGAGUUGUAGGACAUAUGAAGGAUCCAAUUGAGAAAAGAAUAAAUCUUUGAAUGAAGUGGUCAUCGUAGCUCAAGGAGUUGAUUAUUGCUUCCCGUAAUGCUUGUAAAGUAAUUGUUGUUUGGCCUUCCUUUUUUACAGGUUGAACAAUUCUGGUUUAUUGAUUUUUGGUGCCUCAAAUAUGUCAUCUCUUUUUGAUGGCAGUCCAAGCAAACAAUCAACAUCAUCGAGUGUCAUCGUUACGAAAGUACCAUUAAUAUUGAAUGCUUUCUUCUCCUUGUCAUAGCUUCUUGCAAUCUCAUUGCACAAGUUUCGGUCAAUAUGUAUGUUGUCAAUCUUUAGCAAGUUGCCAAGACCUGAACCCUCGAUAGCUUCCUUUUGACGUAGACUUAGAUGGAGUAUUACCUCGUACAUGGCAUGUGGAGAGCAAACUAGAGUUCCCUAAUUAACAGAAAAGAUAAUAAGAGUUUAGUCCAUGUGAAAAUUUAUGCAAGUGCUCAUAUAUAUGAUUGCACAUUACCAAACCUAGAGAUCAAUUAAUCCUGCUAGAAAUCAAUUAGAAAUCAAAGGAAAUAAUUAAUCCUGCUCUGGCAUGUUACUCGUCUGACAUGUUGAAGUGAUGUCCUCCAUCACUGUUCUGGCAGUCUAUAUGGCCCUCUCUAUAAUUUGUUCAAUGUUCAUUCUUAUGUGCAGGAUUCAGUGAGGUUGAGGAGUUUGAGGGGAGCAACAUGAGUGAGGUCUUCGAGGGCAACAUAGUACUGUCAGGUUUGUGCCACCUUCACCCAUGACCACAUCCCUCACUUUGGUUUGAAAGUUUGAAAGUGUGAAAUUCUGAACAUAUAGUGGCUAAUAUAGAUCGGUCGUCGAGGCGUGGUAAUUAUAUUGAAAUUUCCAAUCAAUUCUAACAUAUAUUCAGUAUAAUUCAUAAGAUCUCAAUUGGGUUGAAGAUUCAACAAAUAUAAUUAAGAUUGUCUGGAUGGAAUAUCAUGCAUGAUUGUGUUUCUAAGGUAGAUGGUCACAGUGUGUCUGUGUGUGGCGUAGCCCUGCUAUUUUACUUCUUUAAUCAUGAGGCCAACAUUUCCGGAUUCAACAUAAAUAUGCACUGCAUGUUUCCUAUUUCAUUGCUCAUGAGGCCAGCACCAUAUUUCAGACAGUAAAAAAGAUAGGCUCAGAAAGCAGUAUAACCGUUUCUAAGAGUUUGAAUUGUUGUAGUAUUAACAAAAUUAACAAACAGUAGGUGCUAAUGAAGUGCUGUAGUGCCAUUGAGUUUACAUCAUCUCCGCACAUUGUUGGCUGAAAUUUAAACUUGUAAUCUUGGAAGAACAGGCAUGCAACCCAUUAUAACCAGUAUCUGAAAGUUGGUUUCUUAUAUUACAGAGUAAAUCAUUUUCUUUGUUGUAGGAGAUUACAUAUCAUGGAACCUGUGCUUUCAGACAUCUGUGUAUACCCUGACAGUGACCAGGAUUAGAUCUUCAUUUUUAGACAGUCUAAAACUAAACUAGGUCACCAACGGAAACACAUAUGAAAACAUUGAGCCUCUCUGAAUAUGCUACAUCUAAGUUUUACCUCUUUAGAUUUGUGGAGAACACCAUGAGUUUGGAUAAAAAUAUAAGAAAUCCUGAUUUCCUUAAUUGGUUGUAGAUAAAUUAUUUUAUACUUAAGUCAGCGAUGACCCCUAUUUGUUAAUGCCAGAUCUUCGACACGAAUCUUACACUUUGUUUUUGUUAUGCAAUCUAUAUAAAUUCUCAUCAUAAUAUGGCUAUGAUAAUUACUUGUAUGAUAAUUGCUUCGUUAUGAUUCUCAGAAAUCCUAACUAAUUCUCACUAAUCAAUAAUAUAUAUCCCAAUACAUCAGCACACAUGAAUCUUUGCUACUGCAGGGCGUCGCCAGUGCCAUUGUCAGCUUCCCGCCACAAACGCCUCUGGAUCUCAAAUCCACCACGUCGAAGCAGGGGUUGGUCAGGCCGGCAGACCAUCUACGGCUGCGCCUAACACUCCCCGCAGGUACAUUGCUUCAUCCCAUUGCUCCCAUAGGCUUUUAGUUUUUUUUUUUUUUGGCAAAAAGUCGAGACAAAAAGUUAUAUGCCCUAAUGGCAUGUGGAUGUCAUGUAAUUACUAAAUUUUUAGCAUGCUGAAUAUAUAACAUGGAUAUGUUGCUUUGGAUUAAUAUCACUGUCUUCUCAAAAAUUAGGUGCCAUUCUGUUCGUUUUUUGUAUGGAGUAUGACAAGUAUAUAAAAUAGUUGUAUGGAGUAGGACAGGUAUAUAAAUUAGGUGCCAUUCUCUUUUUUUUUAUGGAGUUGUACAAGUAUAUUUUUUGGGAUAUCUUGCCGUGCUGUGUACUCUGUGUGGCUGCUACAUCCUCUAUACAAUUGCUCCAGAGACUAGCCAGAGCUUAAAAGAGGCACACAGUAAAAUCAGGGGAGAGACUAUAUUCGUUAAUAAUCUAAUCAUAUGUGCUGUAAUUAUCGUUGCGCCUUAGACCUAUUGCAACUUUGGCUUGAGGAGUCUAAGAUUUCGACAACUGAUGUAUACAAGAGCUGAAAGUGAAUGUUGUAUGU
rnacentral:sRNA from 1 species